rnacentral:ncRNA from 2 species
AAUUCGGAGCGGACGCAAGGUGAUCCUCCUAUGAGGAUUGAAAAGGGAAGCCGGCGAAAAUCCGGCGCGGUCCCGCCGCUGUGAACGGGGACGAAACCCGCAAUAUGUCACUGGGCUGAAGUUUUAGCGGCCCGGGAAGGCGCGGGGAUUAGGAUGAUCCGUGAGCCAGAAGACCUGCCCGGCGUCCAUGAAACGA